rnacentral:rRNA from 1 species
CGAGAGUAGUACUAGGAUGGGUGACCUCCUGGGAAGUCCUCGUGUUGCACCCC